GAUUAACGCUGGCGGCGUGCAUAACACAUGCAAGUCGAACGAUGAAACUUAACUGAUUUCUUCGGAAUGAUUUUAAGUGGGUUAGUGGCGGACGGGUGAGUAACGCGUGAGUAACCUGCCUUGGAGAAGGGGAUAGCCUUUGGAAACGAAGAAUAAUACCCUAUGAUAUGAUAAUAUCUCAUGAUAUUAUCAUCAAAGAUUUAUCGCUCUAAGAUGGACUUGCGUCUGAUUAGUUAGUUGGUGAGGUAACAGCUCACCAAGGCAGCGAUCAGUAGCCGGCUUGAGAGAGUGUACGGCCACAUUGGGACUGAGACACGGCCCAGACUCCUACGGGAGGCAGCAGUGGGGAAUUUUGCACAAUGGGGGAAACCCUGAUGCAGCGACGCCGCGUGAUUUAGAAGGCCUUCGGGUUGUAAAAAUCUUUUGUAUGGGAAGAAAAUGACAGUACCAUACGAAUAAGGACCGGCUAAUUACGUG
rnacentral:rRNA from 1 species